rnacentral:rRNA from 1 species
ACUCAAAGGAAUAGACGGGGGCCCGCACAAGCGGUGGAGCAUGUGGUUUAAUUCGAUGCAACGCGAAGAACCUUACCAAGAUUUGACAUGGAAACGACGUACUUAGAGAUAGGUAUUCCCCUCGGGGCGUUUCACACAGGUGGUGCAUGGUUGUCGUCAGCUCGUGUCGUGAGAUGUUGGGUUAAGUCCCGCAACGAGCGCAACCCUUACCGUUAGUAGCCAUCAUUAGGUUGGGCACUCUAGCGGGACUGCCGUGGAUAACACGGAGGAAGGCGGGGAUGAGGUCAAAUCAUCAUGCCCUUUAUGUCUUGGGCAACACACGUGCUACAAUGGCUAUAACAAAGUGAAGCAAGCAGGUGACUGUAAGCCAACCACAAAAAAAUAGUCUCAGUUCGGAUUGAAGUCUGCAACCCGACUUCAUGAAGCUGGAAUCGCUAGUAAUCGCGGAUCAGCAUGUCGCGGUGAAUACGUUCCCGGGCCUUGUACACACCGCCCGU